UGACAUGCUUUGAAAAUUUCCACAAUAUAGCAUGAAUAUGUCCUUUAAACACUGGCACAAUUGGUGGUUUGUAAUCCGCUUAUUUAAUUCAAAUUAUUCCCCUUGAAAGACACUGUAUCGUUUGAGCAGUUCACAGGUAGCGCAACCUGUCUCGUAGUGUUCAUUUUCAAUGGCUAUAAAACGCUGUAAAUCAAAAUGACAUCGUGUACUAAUGGAUGUUUUCAAUCGAAGAAGGUUCGGAAAUGAUAUUUCCACAUGCUUAAAAUAGGUUGGGAAGUUACGGUCUUGGCGAACAGCAUUCUCACUUUCAGUGUGACAACUGUUGCGGCCAAAAUAAAAACAACAUAGUCAUCUGGUACCUUCUGUGGAGAGUUCUUAUAGGUUUACAUAGAAUCAUCACACUAAGCUUUAUGUUGAUAAGACAUACAAAGUUUACACCAGAUUGGCACUUUUGCAUCUGGAAGUCAAAGUGGAGAAACUUCAAUGCAGAAAUGUUGUCUGAUGUCGCUGCGUCUGUGGGGUUAUCGUCAAGGACGGGCUACAACAUCCCCCAGCUUGUGGGGGACUCUUCCAAUCCUGUUGUUAUCUAAGACAGGAAGGAUUACUUUACGACAUUGUUUCACCACAUAAAGAUAGUCACCAAAUUUCAUCAAUUUCCAUGUGUCAGCAGAGCAUCCCGGUGUUGUGGAAUGCAGGGAAUUUAGUGACUCACCAGUAGUCAGAAUCACUCUCAGGAAGGUCUCGAAAGUGAAUGUUAAUGUGAGCUGUGACAACCUGCCAUAAGAAAUGUUUGCGAAAGGGCUUGAUCUGGACGAUCAGUGGUAUUUAUUUGAAAACAUUCGUGAAUUCUGUCUCAUAGAUGAACCAAAAACUUGACAUGUCCGAAACGCGCUACUGGUGAGCAACAAAAAACAGACUGUGCCCCCCAAAAAAGAAGGUGCAUAAUUUAAGAUGCGCAUCUGAUCUUCUCUGAUGGUGCCACAACAAUUACAUACAUCAUGUAUCAGUGUUUAUUUUGGCCAAGGUAUUGUGUGAUAUAUUUUCCCACAAACAAUGCAAAAAAUCCUCUAUUCCUAGGAAAGCUAAAACAUGUAUACGAUUGCUAAAUGUGUCAGUUGAUACAGGUUUUGAAAUGUUCAAUGCAAACUUUUGUUGUUCUAAUUGCACAAGCUUGUUUUCAAGUUUUUUAUAUCUCAUAUUUACAAAACAAAAAUCAUUUUUUUCCAUGUAGAUCUAACCAUGCAAUUGUUUUCACCUUAUGGACACAGACUGCCUAUCAGAAAAACUGGAAAAAAAUCAGUGUGAAUAUUGUAUUUAUUUAUGUUUUACAAUGAAAAUCCUAUAUUUUUGUUUGUUUGCUACAUUGUUUCCAUAGUAACAAAAACAAACAAUUUUU